rnacentral:rRNA from 1 species
AUAAACGCUGGCGGCGUGCCUAACGCAUGCAAGUCGAACGAGCCUCGCAAGAGGUUAGUGGCGAACGAGUGAGUAACACGUAGGAAUCUGCCCCGAACUGGGAAAUACCCAGCCGAAAGGUUGGUUAAUGUCCCAUAGUCCCGAAAGGGUAAAGGCGUAAGCCGGUUUGGGAGGAGCCUGCGUCCUAUCAGCUUGUUGGUGGGGUAAUGGCCUACCAAGGCGAUGACGGGUAGCUGGUCUGAGAGGAUGGUCAGCCACGAUGGGACUGAGACACGGCCCAUACACCUACGGGUGGCAGCAGCUGGGAAUCGUACGCAAUGCGCGAAAGCGUGACGUCGCAACGCCGCGUGGAGGAAGAAGGCCUUCGGGUUGUAAACUUCUUUUCUCAGGGACGAUUAUGACGGUACCUGAGGAAUAAGGACCUGCUAACUACGU